UAAGCCAUGCAAGUCGAAAGAAUUUAGAUUCUUGGCGUACGGCUCAGUAACACGUGGAUAACCUACCCUUAGGACCGGGAUAACCUUGGGAAACUGGGGAUAAUACUGGAUAGGCAAUUAUUUCUGGAAUGUUUUUUUGUUUAAAUGUUUUUUUCGCCUAAGGAUGGGUCUGCGGCCGAUUAGGUAGUUGGUUAGGUAACGGCUUACCAAGCCAUUGAUCGGUACGGGUUGUGAGAGCAAGAGCCCGGAGAUGGAACCUGAGACAAGGUUCCAGGCCCUACGGGGUGCAGCAGGCGCGAAACCUCCGCAAUGUGAGAAAUCGCGACGGGGGGAUCCCAAGUGCCAUUCUUAACGGGAUGGCUUUUCAUUAGUGUAAAGAGCUUUUGGAAUAAGGGCUGGGCAAGACCGGUGCCAGCCGCCGCGGUAACACCGGCAGCUCUAGUGGUAGCAGUUUUUAUUGGGCCUAAAGCGUCCGUAGCCGGUUUAAUAAGUCUCUGGUGAAAUCCUGUAGCUUAACUGUGGGAAUUGCUGGAGAUACUAUUAGACUUGAGACCGGGAGAGGUUAGAGGUACUCCCAGGGUAGAGGUGAAAUUCUGUAAUCCUGGGAGGACCGCCUGUUGCGAAGGCGUCUAACUGGAACGGUUCUGACGGUGAGGGACGAAAGUUAGGGGCGCGAACCGGAUUAGAUACCCGGGUAGUCCUAACUGUAAACGAUGCGGACUUGGUGUUGGGGUGGCUUUGAGCUGUUCCAGUGCCGAAGGGAAGCUGUUAAGUCCGCCGCCUGGGAAGUACGGUCGCAAGACUGAAACUUAAAGGAAUUGGCGGGGGAGCACCACAACGCGUGGAGCCUGCGGUUUAAUUGGAUUCAACGCCGGACAUCUCACCAGAGGCGACAGCUGUAUGAUAGCCAGGCUGAUGACUUUGCUUGACUAGCUGAGAGGAGGUGCAUGGCCC
rnacentral:rRNA from 1 species